AAUAACAUUGUCAUAUUUUUUACAAAAGACUGUUAAAAGAAGCUUGUAUCUUUAUAACACGGAAUAUAAAUACUUUCCUUUACAAGUUCUAAGUAGCUUAAGCGUUUUUAAUGGGGUUUUGUUCCUGUAUUUUGUGGUUUCUCAUUCUCUUUUUCGUUUCCUUCAUGGUAGCAGGUGUGGCCUCAUUCUUCUACGUAAUCUUAUAUCCACUGACAGUUUGUUGUGACUGUUUAGAACCUUGUACAGACUGUUUAUUGGGAGGAGUACAGUUCCCCCAUUAUUGCGCAGAAAGAAUGAUGGAUUGAGACUGUUAUAGUUUGAAAAUGUAGGUACAUUAAUUUGUGUAUGUUGUGUUCCUAUUCUAUAUAAUUUUAUUUAUAUUUUAUGAGAAGCAAUGUAGUGCCAUGUUUUGUCGGUGUAUAUUAGUAAAAUAUUAUUAUCUGUACUACUACAAAAAAUAUGAUUAUGUAUAU